rnacentral:lncRNA from 1 species
UAAGUCGUAACAUAACGACAAAAGUCAACAACAUUUACAAGCAGCGGAAAUAGUUUGAAAUAAAAAUCCAAAGUAUUUAAAAUAGCAAAAUGCACCGGAGCUAUGAGACCUAUCAGACAUAGCUCAUACCCCUGGGGUAUUCUUGGCAGACACCUGUACAAUAGCCCUGUCCAAGAAUCUUAACUUCCCCACGUCACAUCAAAAAGUGGUACAUGGAACCCAUCAAAAUAAAAUGUCAAGCUGACAAUAUUGGUAUAGGUACAGUCUUCCAAAUUAAAAUGAACACAACCCAAAAAGAAAGACAUCUAAUCCCUAUACGUCAACCUAAUCUGUCAUUCUACAAAAAACUAUACAUCCCAGAUGAUCUUCACGCGCCCCGCAAGAUCCUCCUAACACAGCUCCAGUCAGGUGUGUCCAACUACAUUCCCAUCUAUAGGGUACUAACUGGUAGGAUGGUCCUAGUUCUCAUCUAAGGGCAAAGCCCAUAUUUCCACAAUAGUUGUAAAGUGUCACCAACCGAAAUUAACAAUUAACACAUAACAUUUAAGUUUUUAAAUGCACAAAAUAACCUUUCAACUUAGCAUGCACCUUAAAAGGGUUUCCAUAUGCCAAACAUGCAUAAACAAGGUUGAAAAAUGAAGUUUUUAACAAAACAACAUUGUUGUAUUCGAAUACAGCAUCUAACCCAAAAAGAAAGACAUCUAAUCCCUAUACGUCAACCUAAUCUAUCAUUCUACAAAAAACUAUACAUCCUAGAUGAUCUUCACGCGCCCCGCAAGAUCCUCCUAACACAGCUCCAGUCAGGUGUGUCCAACUACCUUCCCAUCUACAGGGUACUAACCAGUAGGAUGGUCCUGGUUCUCAUAUGAGGGCAAAGCCCAGAUUUCCACAAUAGUUGUAAAAGGUAGGUGUGUCCAACUACCUUCCCAUCUACAGGGUACUAACCAGUAGGAUGGUCCUGGUUCUCAUAUGAG